UACGUAGGGACCAAGCGUUGUUCGGAUUUACUGGGCGUAAAGGGCGCGUAGGCGGCAUAUUAAGUCAGCCGUGAAAUCUCCGAGCUUAACUCGGAACUGUCAGCUGAUACUGAUGUGCUAGAGUGCAGAAAGGGCAAUCGGAAUUCUUGGUGUAGCGGUGAAAUGUGUAGAUAUCAAGAGGAACACCUGAGGCGAAGGCGGGUUGCUAGGCUGACACUGACGCUGAGUGCGCGAAAGCCAGGGGAGCAAACGGG
rnacentral:rRNA from 1 species